UUGUACAUUGGACUACCAUUGUGUGUAUCCUUUUAGACACUUCAUGUGAUAUUGUGCUGAAACAUUUUGUUUUAUCCUUAGGUGCCCCCUGAUUUUUACAUUCCCGAUUUUGAUGAAGAUGAACUGAAUCCUGAUGAACGUGUAGAUCGACACACGAAAGACAAGCAAAUCCAGCGUGAUGAUGAAUUUUACGCAGGUGAUAACGAUAACGACCAUAUUAUGGAUGAUGCAUGAUGUGUAAAGUUGGUGAUGACAAAAUUCCAAUUUUUGAGAUUUGUAGGUCUCAGCUUUUAGUGUGAAUAUGUGAAGAAAAUAGACAUGAUUAGCUUUCAUUUGUAAUGCUUUUUGCCUUCUAUAAGAAAUAGAAAAAAUAUGGGCAAGAAACUUCCAUUCAGCUGUUUAACUUUGGUUCUUUUUCUUUCUGUAAUUUCAAUGACUUGGCAGGAUAAUUAUGUAGUUGAGUUAUAAUGGACGAUUUGUACCUUGUAGAAUGGUUUUUGGAUGUAUUAAUUUCCAACUCAUAUGCAAUUUAUGUAGAUUUUUUGAGAAUAAA